UGCCCGGUGGUGAAAUGGUAUCACACUGCCCUUUGGAGGCAAGAUUCCUGGUUCGAGUCCAGGCCGGGCAGCCA
rnacentral:tRNA from 1 species